rnacentral:rRNA from 1 species
AGUGAACGCUGGCGGUAGGCCUAACACAUGCAAGUCGAACGGCAGCACAGUAAGAGCUUGCUCUUACGGGUGGCGAGUGGCGGACGGGUGAGGAAUACAUCGGAAUCUACUUUUUCGUGGGGGAUAACGUAGGGAAACUUACGCUAAUACCGCAUACGACCUACGGGUGAAAGCAGGGGAUCUUCGGACCUUGCGCGAUUGAAUGAGCCGAUGUCGGAUUAGCUAGUUGGCGGGGUAAAGGCCCACCAAGGCGACGAUCCGUAGCUGGUCUGAGAGGAUGAUCAGCCACACUGGAACUGAGACACGGUCCAGACUCCUACGGGAGACAGCAGUGGGGAAUAUUGGACAAUGGGCGCAAGCCUGAUCCAGCCAUACCGCGUGGGUGAAGAAGGCCUUCGGGUCGUAAAGCCCUUUUGUUGGGAAAGAAAAGCAGCAGGUUAAUACCCCGCUGUUCUGACGGUACCCAAAGAAUAAGCACCGGCUAACUUCGUG